rnacentral:rRNA from 1 species
UACGGAGGGUGCAAGCGUUAUCCGGAUUCACUGGGUUUAAAGGGUGCGUAGGAGGGCAGGUAAGUCAGUGGUGAAAUCUUCGAGCUUAACUCGGAACUGCCGUUGAUACUAUCUGUCUUGAAUACCGUGGAGAUGAGCGGAAUAUGUCAUGUAGCGGUGAAAUGCUUAGAUAUGACAUAGAACACCAAUUGCGAAGGCAGCUCGUUACACGAAUAUUGACUCUGAGGCACGAAAGCGUGGGGAGUCAAACAGGA